GGAUGUGAGGGCAAUCUGGCUGCAACAUGUGUCACCCCAUUGAUCACCAGGGUUGAUUCAGCUGAUCUGGCUGGCUAGGCGGGUGUCCCCUUCCUCCCUCACCGCUCCAUGUGUGUCCUUCCCGAAGCUGUGUGCUUGGUCGAAGAGGAAGGCCUUCCCCUAAUAGAGACGGACCCGCCUUGGGUUGAGGGUCUACGAGUAGCUAUGCUUCUCUGCUAGAACCUCCAAACAAGCUCUCAAAAACGUUUUCAGUUUUGACCUGUGUGUAGCAAACCUGGAACUCUACAUCUGAGAAUGUUUUCCUUA
rfam:Erinaceus europaeus unplaced genomic scaffold scaffold00604, whole genome shotgun sequence